rnacentral:ncRNA from 1 species
GAAAAACAGAUAAGCAAAACAAGUACUUAAUGACUAUUUCCAGAAAGAGACUUUUUCAUAUGCUGAGAGAAAAAGCUGGAAACCAUUUAGGAACACAUUUGCUUUAGUCAUCUUCUGAAUUCAGUAAGAGGAUGCGGUCUUCUCCGUUAUCAGAAAAGACUCUUUAAAAUAAAGAGUUUGUGAGGUUAUUGUUGCAAAACGAUAACAAAUUGAGGUGGAACCACGAUUCUUUCGUCCUCUUG